rnacentral:rRNA from 1 species
UACAGAGGUCUCAAGCGUUGUUCGGAUUCAUUGGGCGUAAAGGGCGCGUAGGCGGUCAGCACAAGUCAGUUGUGAAAUCUCCGGGCUUAACUCGGAAAGGUCAACUGAUACUGUGCGACUAGAGUGCGGAAGGGGCAACUGGAAUUCUCGGUGUAGCGGUGAAAUGCGUAGAUAUCGAGAGGAACACCUGCGGCGAAGGCGGGUUGCUGGGCCGACACUGACGCUGAUGCGCGAAAGCGUGGGGAGCGAACAGG